rnacentral:rRNA from 1 species
CCUACGGGAGGCAGCAGUGGGGGAUAUUGCACAAUGGGGGAAACCCUGAUGCAGCGACGCCGCGUGAGUGAAGAAGGAUUUCGGUAUGUAAAGCUCUAUCAGCAGGGAAGAAAAUGACAGUACCUGACCACGAAGCCCCGGCGAACCACGUGCCAGCAGCCGCGGUUAUACGUAGGGGGCAAGCGUUAUCCGGAUUUACUGGGUGUAAAGGGAGCGUAGACGGUUUUGUAAGUCUGGAGUGAAAGGCCGGGGCCCAACCCCGGGACUGCUUUGGAAACUGUGUAACUGGAGUACAGGAGGGGCAGGCGGAAUUCCUGGUGUAGCGGUGAAAUGCGUAGAUAUCAUGAGGAACACCGGCGGCGAAGGCGGCCUGCUGGACUGAAACUGACGUUGAGGCUCGAAAGCGUGGGGAGCAAACAGGAUUAGAGACCCUUGUAGUC